UUUUGCACUGGGAAAAAGGACUGGAGUAGAGUCCCACCAGGGGCUGGCUAACUUUUGACUUUGCCAAGAAGCUCACUGACACAUAUUUUCCUUGGAGCAAUAGAAGCCUUUGCAAUAUGGAAAAAGUGACAUGUGAUCCGAAGGCGUCUGGAGGGGAGCUCUGAGUGCGGGGAACUGACCUUUGCAACCACCUACCCAGAGCCGAGACUGGCGAAGGGCGAGCGGAGCCUCCAGGAAUGAUGUCUGGUGCCCUCCACAGCUGCCUUACCAAGUCCUGCGUGCUGGCACCACCACCUUGGAGGAGGAAAGCCCUCCCCCAUUUCCUGCCCUGCUCCCACUCUUCCUCAGAACCUCAGAGGAAGGCCUAUGGAAGAAAGCUUAUCAUCUGGGGGUUGCCCUGCUUGUCAUUAGGGACUUGAAACCUAUUACCCAGGAAGAAGCUCCAUGGAGCCACAGCCACAGAAUCCUGGCCACAGAAUCCCACCCUCAGAGCACCAAGGUCUGCCUUGUCGGAGGAUGCAUGUUAAAAAUAGAAGAAUGGCAAAGUAGCCCAAAGUCUUAAGCCAAGAGGUCAAGCCAUCACCAGCAGGUUUCAGACGACUAAAAUGGCAGAAUCGUGUGAUAGACAGGAGGAUUUCUCAGCCCAUUACUCCUCUGCCAAAGGCAUUGCCAUGAGGAGAGUCACAUACCUGUGGCCUUCACAUAUGUGAAGAAUCACAAGGUUCCACUAUAAGAUGGCCUCUGUUUAAAAAAGAAACUUUGAAAUCUGCAAAUAAAUGCCUAUCUACUGUUUCUGAUGCGCUUGUUCUAACACUCAUAGAAAGAAGUGUUCCCAUAGACAGCUGCUCAGGGGAAAGGGUGCCCACAGCUCAGGGGCCCAGGGCACUCCAGGAGCAUUUCAUCUUCCUCUCCCAUGCUUUUCACAGAAUUGUUUCAGUUGCUUCUACAGAAAAGGGAACAUCUUCGCAUCAUUGUAAGGUAUUGACAGACACACAGAAACAUUAACUCGAGCCUUGGUGCUGAUCUGCUUUCAAAAGAAUUCCUACUUGAGAAUUGUGCAGGAGCAAAUUUUGUCUUUUCUUCUCAGAACUGGAAAGGAGGCAAACAUUCAAGGAGAGAGAGAAGAGAAUACCAAAUGAUCGAUGGGUUGGGAAUGUGUGCAUCUUCAAGUCUCUUGUGUUUGGUGGAGUUUAAGGCUCAACUGGGUUGAGUCUUCAGAGACAGAAAAGAGCAAAUGUGUAUGAUUUUCUGAACCCUCAGAAGGUAGGUAGUUGGGCUGACCUUAGAUGCCACAUUAAUUUCUGAAGAAUCUGGGGGCACAAUGAUGCAGUAUUUAAGACAAUGUAAGUGAAAAUGCUCUGUAUGUUGAAAAGUAAGAUGUAACUAUCAAGUUUUAUUCACCUACAGUCCCCCACUUCAGCAGCUGUUUUAUCUGACAUCAUGGGACUUAAUGUUAAGUCAAUGUUAACGAUGUGUUGCAAACUUAGGUGAUGUUUCCCUAAGACCUUUUGUUAACAUUCAGGCUUUUACUUCCCUCACCAAUUUUUUAUUCUGAAUAAUUUCUUACUGAACUUUAAAAGUCCAGUAGGACUAACACUCAUGGCUAACAUUUACAUUGUACUUACCAGGUGCCCAGGUCUGUUCUAAGCACUUGAGACACUGUUACUCCUUUAACACCCUCAACAGCAUGAUAAGGGAAGAGCUACUAUUCCCGCUUUACAGAGUAGGAAACUGAGGCACACCCAGGUUACUUUCUCAAGAACAUACAACCAGGAAAUGGCAGAGCCUCUUUCUCAGGUGUUGAGCACCGUUCCUCUCUUUGCGACAGAAAGCCCUCUCCUCCUCUCUGCAUUCAGCCCACCUGCAGAUACUCCUCAAGUCCUACCUUCUUCUCUGGCACAAACACCAGAGCCCACAGGGAGCUCAAGAGUCUCUCAACUCCCAAAGCAUGUUCUGUCACUUCCACUCACCCAGCUCUUUUCUUAUGCUGCCUUAUUUCGUUAAGUAUGUCUUUAUAAAAAUUUGUUGUCUCUCCCCAAAUAGUUGUGGGGACCAAAAAAAAAAAAAAAAAUGGGGGAGGGAUACUAAAACUUCCUUACAUCUCUCUGCCACCCCAGCACCCUCAGCCCCAUAACGUCAUGAGUAGUGCCUUCACACAGUAGAUGCUUAAGAAAUUAAUUCAUUUAGGGACGCCUGGGUGGCUCAGUUGGUUAAGCAGCUGCCUU